UACGAAGGGGACUAGCGUUGCUCGGAAUCACUGGGCGUAAAGGGUGCGUAGGCGGGUCUUUAAGUCAGGGGUGAAAUCCUGGAGCUCAACUCCAGAACUGCCUUUGAUACUGAAGAUCUUGAGUUCGGGAGAGGUGAGUGGAACUGCGAGUGUAGAGGUGAAAUUCGUAGAUAUUCGCAAGAACACCAGUGGCGAAGGCGGCUUACUGGUCCGGUUCUGACGCUGAGGCGCGAAAGCGUGGGGAGCAAACAGG
rnacentral:rRNA from 1 species